AACGAACGCUGGCGGCAGGCCUAACACAUGCAAGUCGAACGAGACCUUCGGGUCUAGUGGCGCACGGGUGCGUAACGCGUGGGAAUCUACCCUUGGGUUCGGAAUAACUCAGAGAAAUUUGAGCUAAUACCGGAUGAUGUCUUCGGACCGAAGAUUUAUCGCCCAGGGACGAGCCCGCGUAGGAUUAGCUAGUUGGUGAGGUAAAAGCUCACCAAGGCGACGAUCCUUAGCUGGUCUGAGAGGAUGAUCAGCCACACUGGGACUGAGACACGGCCCAGACUCCUACGGGAGGCAGCAGUGGGGAAUAUUGGACAAUGGGGGAAACCCUGAUCCAGCAAUGCCGCGUGAGUGAUGAAGGCCUUAGGGUUGUAAAGCUCUUUUACCAGGGAUGAUAAUGACAGUACCUGGAGAAUAAGCUCCGGCUAACUCCGUGCCAGCAGCCGCGGUAAUACGGAGGGAGCUAGCGUUGUUCGGAAUUACUGGGCGUAAAGCGCGCGUAGGCGGCUAUCCAAGUCAGGGGUGAAAUCCCGGGGCUCAACCCCGGAACUGCCCUUGAAACUAGAUGGCUAGAAUACUGGAGAGGUGAGUGGAAUUCCGAGUGUAGAGGUGAAAUUCGUAGAUAUUCGGAAGAACACCAGUGGCGAAGGCGACUCACUGGACAGUUAUUGACGCUGAGGUGCGAAAGCGUGGGGAGCAAA
rnacentral:rRNA from 1 species